GUUGAUAGCUUUGCAGAGUGUUUAUAUAGAAAGUAGGGCAUGCACUAGGGUGAGUGGUGAAGUAAGUGAGUGGUUUGAUGUGAAGGUGGGGUUAGAACAGAGUUGUGUGAUGUCUCCUUGGCUGUUUGAAUUAAAAAUGGAUGGUGUGGUGAGAGCUGGAAGCUUUUGUAGGGGAGACCAAAUGGUGGGAGAAAAAGGAGAGAAAUGGCAGGCGAGUCGGUUGUUGUCUGUUGAUGAUAGAGCAGUGGUGGUGGAUUCGGAAGAGCAACUGAGGAGACUGGUGGUAGAGUUUGGAAGAGCUGUGUGAGAGGAGGAAACUGAAAGUGAAUGUAGCUAAGAGUAAGGUGAUGAGAUGCUCGAGAGAUGGAAUGGCUGGUAGGAUGGAUGUGAGUAUGAAUGGUGAGGUGUUAGAGGAGGUGGGUGUUUUUAAGCAUCUGGGGUCACAUGUGACAGCGGAUGGAGGUGGCGGUGGCAGAGGAAGUGGGGUACAGAGUGAGGGAGGGGAGUAAGAUACUUGGAGUUGUGAAGGGUUUGCUGAGAGAUAAAAGGUUGAGUAUGAAAGCGAAAAGAGGUGUGUAUGAUGGUGUGAUUGUUAUAUGCAAUGUUAUAUGGUGCAGAGACGUGGGGGGGGGGAUGAGAGAGGCGGAAAGGAGGCGACUAGAUGUGUUUGAGAUGAGAUGUCUGAGGGCUAUGGUUGGUGUGACAUGGAUGGAGAGGAUGAGGAGGUACAAAGGCAAGCAGGAAUGAGAGAAAAUUAACAACCACAAUGAAUAGACGAAUGUUGAGGUGGUUUGGCCACAUGGAGAGGAUGGAUGAGGAGUGGAUGGUCAGGAGGGUGAUGGAGGCAGAAGUGGUACGCAGCGGAACCAGAGGCAGACCUCGGUUUGUGUAGAUGGAUGGAGUGAGGAAAGCUUUGGUGGUCAGAGGUG